rnacentral:rRNA from 1 species
UACAGAGGGUGCGAGCGUUGUCCGGAAUCACUGGGCGUAAAGGGCGCGUAGGCGGCUUGAUAAGCGUGCGGUGAAAGCCCGGGGCUCAACCCCGGGUCGGCCGUGCGAACUGUCGAGCUGGAGCACUGUAGAGGCAGGUGGAAUUCCGGGUGUAGCGGUGGAAUGCGUAGAGAUCCGGAAGAACACCGGUGGCGAAGGCGACCUGCUGGGCAGUGGCUGACGCUGAGGCGCGACAGCGUGGGGAGCAAACAGG